rnacentral:rRNA from 1 species
AGUGAACGCUGGCGGUAGGCCUAACACAUGCAAGUCGAACGGCAGCACAGUAAGAGCUUGCUCUUACGGGUGGCGAGUGGCGGACGGGUGAGGAAUACAUCGGAAUCUACUUUUUCGUGGGGGAUAACGUAGGGAAACUUACGCUAAUACCGCAUACGACCUACGGGGGAAAGCAGGGGAUCUUCGGACCUUGCGCGACUGAAUGAGCCGAUGUCGGAUUAGCUAGUUGGCGGGGUAAAGGCCCACCAAGGCGACGAUCCGUAGCUGGUCUGAGAGGAUGAUCAGCCACACUGGAACUGAGACACGGUCCAGACUCCUACGGGAGGCAGCAGUGGGGAAUAUUGGACAAUGGGCGCAAGCCUGCUCCAGCCAUACCGCGUGGGUGAAGAAGGCCUUCGGGUUGUAAAGCCCUUUUGUUGGGAAAGAAAAGCAGCAGGUUAAUACCCCGCUGUUCUGACGGUACCCAAAGAAUAAGCACCGGCUAACUUCGUG